GGCUCAGUAGCUUAUGUGGUAGAGCACUCGUCUAGUAUACAAGAAUUGUGGGUUCAAAACCCACCUAAGCAC
rfam:Aedes aegypti strain Liverpool supercont1.601 genomic scaffold, whole genome shotgun sequence.